rnacentral:misc_RNA from 1 species
AAGUCGUAACAAGGUUUCCGUAGGUGAACCUGCGGAAGGAUCAUUAUUGAAUACCUUUCAGGGGGGUUCGCUCCGGGGUUAAACCCGGGCGGGCUUUCCCGUCCACACCAAACCCCUGUGCACCUUUCUCGAUGGGAAAUGCGGCUUUGCGGCUGCAAAGUACCGUCGCCGAUUCACAAACACUUUUGUAAACGUACAUGGAAUGAACACGCGGUGCUCCGCGACUAAACACAAAACAACUUUCAACAACGGAUCUCUUGGCUCUC